UACGUAGGGGGCAAGCGUUGUCCGGAAUUAUUGGGCGUAAAGAGCUCGUAGGCGGCUUGUCACGUCGGGUGUGAAAACCCGGGGCUCAACCCCGGGCCUGCAGCCGAUACGGGCAGACUAGAGUUCGGCAGGGGAGACUGGAAUUCCUGGUGUAGCGGUGAAAUGCGCAGAUAUCAGGAGGAACACCGGUGGCGAAGGCGGGUCUCUGGGCCGAUACUGACGCUGAGGAGCGAAAGCGUGGGGAGCGAACAGG
rnacentral:rRNA from 1 species